GCAUGGCUGAAUUCUGUGUUACUCUUGACAUAGUAAAUACAGUCAGACACCAUGCUAAAUCAAUUGUUUUCACACACUGACUCAACGGGAUCAAGGUACUUAUCAUGUGCCUUGUUCUUAUGUCGGAGUGAAUACAGCA